rnacentral:SRP_RNA from 2 species
GGAAGGUUUAGUUGGGUGUUUUUAAACGCAAAACCAGUCAGGUCUGAAAAGAAGCAGCUGAGGUAUUUUUAAACAGGUCAGAUAAACCUUCCUAA